ACUAUGGCGCCAGGGAGGCCGCGACUUGGAGAGAGUGAGGCGGCGAUGGAACUGGAGGGGGAGGGGGAGGAGGGGGAGGAGGAGGGGGAAUUAGCAUAAGCACGUGCACGUGAGGCAGGGGACACUGUUCAUCUGGCGAUCUGGGACAUUCGGUUCUUACCUCCCGCCGGCCGGCAUGUAGGUCGCCAUUUGUGGCAAAUACUCGGGAAGAUGUGUCGACAUCGGAGGCGUCAAGCGGCUCCGGUCGGUGAUGUCGGUGCUGGGCCUGGGAGUCUGCAGGACCUUGCCCAAGGUUGACGCCGCUGCUGUCCGGCAGGAGUGGUCGAUUGACGUCAGCAUCAUGCCACUCACUUUUUUCUAUAUAAUUACUUAGCAAAAACAGCGCGGAUGCUUCCGCCAUCGGUCCUUCGACUCGGCAAUUAUAACCGCAAUAUCAUUAUUGUGGAUGAGCGUGCUUCUAGGCAUCUUAUCAUAUGAAUGCUGCAGCGCAUGAAGGUUUUACUCGUUACGAACAGGCUGUGCUUCUGCAUAACAUGCUUUCUUCUGACGUGGGCCGAGCACAGCUUGAUGGUAUAAAUAUGUGGUCCUUAAUGUAUGAAGAAG
rnacentral:lncRNA from 1 species